rnacentral:rRNA from 1 species
UACGGGGGGGGCAAGCGUUGUUCGGAAUUACUGGGCGUAAAGGGCUCGUAGGUGGCCAACUAAGUCAGACGUGAAAUCCCCAGGCUUAACCUGGGAACUGCGUCUGAUACUGGAUGGCUUGAAUUCGGGAGAGGGAUGCAGAAUUCCAGGUGUAGCGGUGAAAUGCGUAGAUAUCCGGAGGAACACCAGUGGCGAAGGCGACUGCCUGGGGAGUAACUGACGCUGAGGCGCGAAAGCUGGGGGAGCAAAGCGGG